rnacentral:rRNA from 1 species
GAAUUUAAGCAUAUAAUUAAGCGGAGGAAAAGAAACUAACCAGGAUUCCCUCAGUAAGGGCGACUGAAGCGGGAAGAGCUCAGGAUGUGAAUCUGCGCCUUUGUGCGCCGAAUUGUGGUCUGUCGACGGUGGCAUUACUGGCCGGGCCAAGUCCUUUGGAACAAGGCAGCUGAGAGGGUGAGACUCCCGUCCGCCUGGCUAGGUGAGCCACUAGUCUACGAGUCGAGUUGUUUGGGAUUGCAGCUCUAAGUGGGUGGUAAAUUCCAUCUAAAGCUAAAUAUUGGUGGGAGACCGAUAGCGUACAAGUACCGUGAGGGAAAGAUGCAAAGAACUUUGAAAAGAGAGUUAAAGAGUACCUGAAAUUGCUGAAAGGGAAGCGAAGGAAACCAGUGUCGGCUCAGUCAUAUUUCCCUGUCCGCUUGCGGUUUGGGCGCUGUGUCUGGCCUGUGUCGUCCUUGGUUGGAUCUGCUGGAAGAGCGCAGUGAGAGUUGAUCUCUGUUGCUAGCAGCGGGUCUGACUGAGGAGGACGAAAUGGUUUUCUUUACCCCGUCUUGAAACACGGAACCAG